rnacentral:lncRNA from 1 species
GGACAGAGAGCCGUGUCUGCAGAGACCCAAAUCCGGGGUCAGGUUUGUGUUUCUGUGGACACGUCUGUCCACAAAGAGGGCAGUGGGCAAUUGUUCUCUUCAUCGAAGAAUGGUUUUUGUCAACGUUCAGUGAGAUCAUUUCACCAGUGAGGUGGCCACAGCGGCGCUUUCUCUACCCAAACCUCACUUCCUCUCGCUGAAGGGGUUCCAGUCUCGAUCAUCAGUGAAGUCCUUCCACAUCCAUGGGGCGUCCACCAACUAGGAGCUUAAUCAACUCAACGCUGUGGCCUCUCCAGCUCAGGGACGUGCCUUUUCCGUGUCUUCUUCUCACACACAAACGUAGCCUGCAAGGAAGGUCAGGUUCAAUGCACGGAAUCUACCCUGCUGCCCGCUAGGAGGUCAUAUGUGUAUCACAGACCCGCAGAGAAUGCUCUCCACAGUACAUGAGGCGCGGUACAAAUGGAAUGAGUGUAACGCGCAUUCUCUGUUUGAAAAAAGUUAUCCCAAUUGAAUAGUCGGUAAUUUCUCUUUAUUGUAACCCAAUAGAUCACAAAAUGCAACCUGAGGUUUAAGCUGAGGGGUGGGGCGUUUGCAGAGGGCUGUGGUGGAGGUUAGAUUAGGUUUACAGAAGGCUGUGUGGUGGAGGUUAGGUUAGGUUUGCAGAAUGCUGUGUGGUGGAGGUUGGGUUAGGUUUGCAGAAGGCUGUGUGGUGGAGGUUAGGUUAGGUUUGCAGAGGGCUGUGGUGGAGGUUAGGUUAGGUUUACAGAAGGCUGUGUGGUGUGGAGGUUAGGUUAGGUUUGCAGAAGGCUGUGUGGUGGAGGUUGGGUUAGGUUUGCAGAAGGCUGUGUGGUGGAGGUUGGGUUAGGUUUGCAGAAGGCUGUGUGGUGGAGGUUGGGUUAGGUUUGCAGAAGGCUGUGUGAUGGAGGUUAGGUUAGGUUUGCAGAGGGCUGUGUGAUGGAGGUUAGGUUAGGUUUACAGAAGGCUGUGUGGUGGAGGUUAGGUUAGGUUUUCAGAGGGCUGUGUGGUGGAGGUUAGGUUAGGUUUACAGAAGGCUGUGUGGUGGAG